rnacentral:lncRNA from 1 species
GCUGGUAAGAGGACUGCAAUUGAAACGUGAGCCUCAGGGAAGGCAAAAAAGAAAAGAUUAGAUAUUUAAAGGGAAUCCUCCCCUGCUCCUCAGACAUAUCAUAUAAGUGAUUAUAUAAAUCCUUCAAGAAGGUACAGUCCGUUUCAUUAUCCAGUUUCAUCCAAUCGAGGACCUGGUCAACUAUUUUGUUUUUCCUUUUGAAGGCUUCGAUUUGAAGAAGCAAACGAAGCUCUUCGCUCACCCGUUUCCUCUUCGUUAGCAGGUCUUGGUCGCCGAGUAGGGGG